rnacentral:rRNA from 1 species
CGUGUAGGCGGCCGGAUAAGUCAGAUGUGAAGGCCCUGGGCUUAACUCAGGAAGUGCAUUUGAAACUGUCCUGCUAGAGUAAGGGAGAGGGAAGUGGAAUUCCUGGUGUAGAGGUGAAAUUCGUAGAUAUCAGGAGGAACACCGGUGGCGAAGGCGACUUCCUGGCCCUAUACUGACGCUGAGACGCGAGAGCGUGGGUAGCAAACAGGAUUAGAUACCCUGGUAGUCCACGCCGUAAACGAUGUUCACUAGGUGUUGGGGGUAUUGACCCCCUCAGUGCCGGAGCUAACGCAUUAAGUGAACCGCCUGGGGAGUACGGUCGCAAGACUAAA